rnacentral:lncRNA from 1 species
GACACUCUAGAGGACACACAUUGUGGCAGAUAAAACUAUAGAUCUCGAAUAUGGACAUUGUGUUUCAGAUUUAGAUUUGACAUAAGCUAGCAGUUUCCAUGAGUUAAUUCUCUUGGAUUUGUUUUCACACCAGUAACAUACAGGGCUCAACUAAUGUAAUUCUAAGAUAUUUUCCAAUAAUAGAUAGUUUUAAAGUCCCCCAAGGAUCCUAAGCUUAUAUUGUAUUAAUCUUUCAUGUUUUAAAUUUUAUC